rnacentral:rRNA from 1 species
UACGAAGGGUGCAAACGUUGCUCGGAAUUAUUGGGCGUAAAGCGCGCGUAGGCGGCUUGGCAAGUCGGAUGUGAAAUCCCUCGGCUCAACCGAGGAACGUCGAUCGAUACUGCUGUUCUUGAGGAUUGCAGAGGAGACUGGAAUUCCCGGUGUAGCGGUGAAAUGUGUAGAGAUCGGGAGGAACACCGGUGGCGAAGGCGGGUCUCUGGGCAACUACUGACGCUGAGGAGCGAAAGCGUGGGGAGCAAACAGG